GGCGCUCGCGAGCGGGGCGCGGUGGCGGGAAGGAGUCGGCUGAGGCCGCGGCGUGGGGCGGGUUGGGGCGAAACGCGUCUUCUGUAAAGGCGAUCGCGUUAUCGAUCAGUGGUUGCUGGCAGUCACAGGCACACCCCCUCACACCAGCCUAAUGGCUGCAACUGCGAGCUAUAAUGAGCAGGAGCGAGCUGCGGGCGGGAGGAGGUGAAAUACUGCCUUUCUGCAGAGAGAAGAGGGACAAAAAUAAGUGGAAGUGGGAAUUCUUCAUCUUUAAAUCAAGCCCACAAGUCAAGCCGUACAAAGCCGGCAGGGCUGACAAGGAGCAGUGUGUGAACUGGAAACAAAGCGUGUUUCUGCAGCUGGAUGGAGUCAAGCACAGCACUAUGGCAGCGAGGAAAAAAGAGAUCUCACAACUUUAUAGCUUAGGGGUGAUUUGCCCCCAGGGAGUGAGAAUAGGCUGCCUCACCCCCCUGCCGCGGCCCCGUCUUGUCUGUCCCUGCCAUUCAUCAAAGGCAGCAUGGCUGGGAUGUGAAACCAAGCAGGGGUAGAGCCUCGCUCCCUUUGCUCCUUGAAAGUGGAUUAAGGCAACAUCAAAACAACCAAAGCGUAGCGCCCUUUUUUGAUACAAGCCCAACUUUGAACUUAAAGUGCUGCUUUCUUUUUUUUUUUUUUUAAAUUCUAACAAAUCACUUAAAUCUCAGGCAUCCAUUUGCAGCGUCACACACCUUGAUAAGGACGGAAGGCGUGGGAAGCACCCAGCCCAGGAGUGCCUCCCUGCUCUCGGGCUCUGACACGUGUGAGGCUGGCAGCAGGGCUCUGCCACGCAGCACAGGGCCCUCUAGGACGCAUCGCUGCCGCAGCUCUGGUCAUUUUAAUUGGCACACAGCUGUGACGCAACCCAGACACCGCCACGCCAACCUCCAGAAUAAGAAAAAAAAUCCAACUGCUUUUACCUCCUAAGCACAGAAAAGCAAAGAAGUGUGGCUCCGUGUCCUCACCACACAUGUGACCACGUACUGUUGGCCCCAUGGAGAGCACGUGUGCAGCACAAGGCUGUGCUAGGUGAAUGGCUGCCUUGGGCAGAGCAGGGAUGGGAGCCAGUCCCAGACCUGCUGCAUAAUGGGAAAUGGAUUAAGAAGUGCAUACAACAGACUAUUUGUUCUGAGCUGUGCUACAAGACCCACCGAGCAAGUGGGGAGGCAGCAAAGCAAACGCCUGUGAUUAGCUGCAGCUCUCCUGGUUCGAGGAAGGUGUCUUUAGUCAGGCGCCUUUCCCCAGCUCUGCUCAGGAUUGUACACAGGAGGCCUCUUGACCAGACAGAGCUUUCAGGUCUCCGUAAUUCCUGCAGCUGCCAACUGGUACUUGGGUUUUACCUCGCCCCAGAGAGACCCUUAUUGGUGUUUAAAACAUGCUGCCCUCUUUCAGACUCUUUUUUUUCUUUUUAAAAUUUACUAUAUAUGCGUAGCAGAGAACAGAAGUCGAAGCGGGCAUUCAAUUGCUAUUAAGCACCAAAACCUGAGCUCAGCCCACAUAGGGGGCUGGGCAGAUGUGGCAGGGACAAGUGUCCCUGUGGGGCUGUGCCACCUGCGCAGCACACACCGCAGGCUGCGCUGCCCCAUGCCUGCCUGGCCUGCGCCGGGCACCGCUCCAGGGCCCUCUCUCCGGGGCACAGACACAUCUGCGGCACCAUCGGUGAGCGCCAGCCCCUGCCAGGUGCUCACCCUGGCUCCCGAACUGAUAUAAAUCAGGGGUUGCCCUGCUGCAGGCAGUGGAGUGGCUCCUGAUUUACAACAUCCUGCACGAGAGGAGAACUUGACCUUACACUUCAGCAUCAGCACAGCUUCCUUUGUUGAAAGCUUCUUAAGCAAGACGUGUAAUCAAUCCUGGAGAGCCACCGCGCAGCACGGCUCAGGUUCUGCAAUAGUCAGGGCUGGGCUGCCCAGGGAAAUCGCCUGUCUCUCAUGGCAUCUGUUCCUAGGAGCUCUCUGGAUGCUUCUUUUUAUAGGAAUGAGUAUGUUUUUCUGUUUUGCCUUAGUCAAAAAUGGGUUGGUUUAGAUUAAUACAAUCCACAAGGAGAAUUUUUCCAUAAUAAGUUUAGAAUUUUAAAGUCUGACUUACCUGUGCCACUAACCUUUCAGACAAAUGAGCUCUUAGUGAGCUCAAGACUGUGGAAAUUCUGGCCUUUAUAGGUAUUUGAUGUUAUGUUAGAGCCCAAGAGGAAAAAGCUUACUGCUUUGCCUCUGUUUUCAUGGCUGUAAUUAUGAGGGCAGUCUGGUGACGUAACUUGUUUGGGAAAUAAAUGACAGUUUUCAACAGUGGCUGUUGUCAGACGCUUCGUUCCUUGUAGCUAUUUUAGAAAUCUAAAUCCAUUCUGUGCUUCCACAGCAGCAAAUGCAGUGGGCCUUGGCUGCAGGCUAAGAUGACGUGUGCCCCGGGCUGUGCUCUGCUGCCACAGCACACAUGGGGGGACCCAAGCAGAUGUGCUUAGCCUUGCUGCCUCACCAUUGCACCUACUGGCCUUAGUGAUACGGAGCAUGGAAGCAAAGGAAGGACCAGAGUUUGGGCAUUUUCACACUUGAACGAGAGAAGAAAAGGGGAUGGCAAAGUACAAAGGUACUUUUUGCAGGAUAAAGCAGACAAUUCAUUGUGAUAGAGGCACUGCCUGUUACAGCGUGCUGCAGACCAGAGCUGCAGGGCUCGUGCUGCAGUUGCUGAGGUUCCCCACAGUCAGCCUGCA